AGGACAGGGUUAGUUGGGCUGGUGAGGUAGGCUAGGAGGGGUUAAGUUGGGCUGGUGAGGAGGGGGUAGUUGGGCUGGUGAGGAGGGAAUCAGUUGGGCUGGUAGGGUAGGUGAGGAGGGGGAAGUUGGGCUGGUGAGGGGGGGGUAGUUGGGCUGCGUGAGGUGGUAGGUGAGGGGGGGGGUUGUUGGGGCUGGUGAGGUAGGUGAGGAGGGGUAGUUGGGCUGGUGAGGUAGGUGAGGAGGGGGUAGUUGGGCUGGUGAGGUAGGUGAGGAGGAGUAGUUGGGCUGGUGAGGUAGGUGAGGAGGGGGUAGUUGGGUGUGGGCUGAUGGUGAGGGGACGGGAAUAGUUGGCUGGUAGGGUAGGUGAGGAGGG
rnacentral:lncRNA from 1 species